AUAACUAAGCGGAGGAAAAGAAACUAACCAGGAUUCCCCCAGUAACGGCGAGUGAAGCGGGAAGAGCUCGUGUUGUGAACCCGGCCUUCGGGUCUGGAUUGUAGUCUGGAGAGGCGUUGCCAGCCGGCGCGGGGUCGAAGUCUCUUGGAAAAGAGCAUCAAGGAGGGUGACAAUCCCGUUCCGGUCCCCGCUCGUCGAGCGCACGGCGCGCUUUCUACGAGUCGAGUUGCUUGGGAUUGCAGCUCAAAGCGGGUGGUAAAUUCCAUCUAAAGCUAAAUACGGGUGGGAGACCGAUAGCGAACAAGUACCGUGAGGGAAAGAUGCAAAGAACUUUGAAAAGAGAGUUAAAGAGUGCCUGAAAUUGCUGAAAGGGAAGCGAAGGAAGCCAGUGUCUGGCGGUUGUGCUUCUCCGACGGUCUUCGGACCGUCGGCUGCGCCUCCGCCGUGGCCAGGGUCGGGUCGGGCCGCGGGAUCCCACGUCCCCGGGAGGUACGUCUCUUCGGAGAGGGNAUGCCGGGGCGCUCUUUGUCGCGGUCUUGGGCCGGCCCCGACGAAAUGGUUUUCUUCAC
rnacentral:rRNA from 1 species